AGCGAACGCUGGCGGCCGGCCUAACACAUGCAAGUCGAACGAACUCUUCGGAGUUAGUGGCGGACGGGUGAGUAACACGUGGGAACGUGCCUUUAGGUUCGGAAUAACUCAGGGAAACUUGUGCUAAUACCGAAUGUGCCCUUCGGGGGAAAGAUUUAUCGCCUUUAGAGCGGCCCGCGUCUGAUUAGCUAGUUGGUGGGGUAAUGGCUCACCAAGGCUACGAUCAGUAGCUGGUCUGGGAGGAUGACCAGCCACAUUGGGACUGAGACACGGCCCAAACUCCUACGGGAGGCAGCAGUGGGGAAUCUUGCGCAAUGGGCGAAAGCCUGACGCAGCCAUGCCGCGUGGAUGAUGAAGGUCUUAGGAUUGUAAAAUCCUUUCACCGGUGAAGAUAAUGACUGUAGCCGGAGAAGAAGCCCCGGCUAACUUCGUGCCAGCCGCCGCCGUAA
rnacentral:rRNA from 1 species